rnacentral:rRNA from 1 species
UACGGGGGGGGGCAAGCGUUGUUCGGAAUUACUGGGCGUAAAGCGUGCGCAGGCGGUGAUGUAAGACAGGUGUGAAAUCCCCGGGCUUAACCUGGGAAUGGCAUUUGGGACUGCAAGGCUGGAGUUUGGCAGAGGAGACUGGAAUUCCUGGUGUAGCAGUGAAAUGCGUAGAUAUCAGGAGGAACACCGAUGGCGAAGGCAGGUCUCUGGGCUGAAACUGACGCUCAUGCACGAAAGCGUGGGGAGCAAACAGG